UUGGAAAGCGAAAUCGGGUUUUUUGUUUCCCUUGCCAAUGGCGCACCCUCGCUGGAGUUUGAGACCGAAAUGUUUGUGAGACUGUCCGGCUGUGACGCAGGGGCUGGGAAUUGACCGCAUUCUGCUGCAGUUCAUGCGGGUGUACUCGGAGCAAGGAGGCGACGACUUAACGCGACCACCUCCAAACAGCCCCCCCCCCCAGCAGCUCAACACCACAAAGACAUUUUGAGCAUAUUCAGAAAAAAUGCAUGCGGUACUUCAGCCCCUUUGGGACCAGCAGUGGUGACCACCCCGCAACCACACAGACGAGACUGACGUCUCGACUGUUCCAACGGUGUUGCCCUGAUCAACAAAGCUCCUCGAGACAAUGAAUAAAGUUGGCUUACACGUUUGGAA